UUAUUAUUAUUAUUAUUAUUAUUAUAUAUACCCAACUGAGACAGACUUUGAUCCACUUAGCAUGCCAGGACAAAAAAAUAUUAAAGCAAGAAAACAAUUAUAAAAACAAUUAAAACAAAAAAAAAAUGAAGUUAAAUCAAUUAGAGCACAUUUUCCCCAGCCGUCAGUAAUCACCAGGCUCUGUAAAUACACACGUGACCGUGUCUGACCUGUGGCUCAGGGUGGGAUUAUGGCCUGUACUGACAGCUCAAUGACAGGCCUAAACAUAUGAUUGACAGUCACAUAAUAAAGUAGAGUGGCAGAUGCGCGUCCGGAAAACUUAUUAAACUUAUUAAGUGCAACCGCAACAACUAGAAACGUGAAAACAAUGACCAUAAACCUGAACAGAGGACAAAAACUCACAGACUGUAAGAGAGACUGCGGCACACACGAACACGUCAACAACAAAAGCUUGACCACAAGACGCUGAAACGCAGGAACUCACACAGUGGUGCUAAUCAAGGUGAAACCAGACACAGGUGAGAGUGUUUGAAAGCGGUCCUCAUGCGAGAUGUCUCUAUGCUGAAAAAGGCCUUAGGCUGACAAAGUUCCUUAAGAGCGAUAUCCUUAGUGUAGCUGGCAGGAGAUGUGAAAUCCUCCACAAGGCAGUGAGGCAGAGCAAUCCCUUCUGCAUAGCUAAGGAGUGGCGCAAUGUCCAAGGCAGCGCAUGGAGCAUGUGACAUCCAUCAUGAAGCCAGAGGGGGAGCGACAUUCUCUGCAAAGCAAUAGGGGGGAGCAACAUACACCACGAAGCAGGGGGAGGAGCGAUGUCCUUAGUGAUACAAGGAAGCAGCGCGGCGUCUCCAUGGCGAGGCUGUGAGCUGUAAGGUCCUUAGUUCAGCAAGGAGGCAGAGCAAUGUCCGAACUGGGGCAGGAAGGGGGGUAGAUGGUUCUAGGUAGGUCGGGAGCUACAGUUUCCAUGAAAAGGGGCAGAAACUUCUGUCAUUUCUACCGACCUUUGAUCACCAAGAGCCAGCACAGUACAUUAUAGAAGACUACAUAUCACAUCAAUCUUCCUAUACCCGAUGUGAUCUUCUGCUCUUACAGCCCAUCCACUUCCAGAUCAAACGUGCUGUGCAUUCUGAUACGCUUCUCUGCUCACUAGUUGUAAAGAGCGGUUAUUCGAGUUACUGUAGACUUCCUGUCAGACUGAAACAGUCUCGCCAUUCUCCUCUGACCUCUCUCAUCAACAAGGCUCUUCCGCCCAACGCUGCUCGCUGAAUGUUUUUUGUUUUCUACACCAGUCUGUGUAAACUCUGGAGACUAUAGAGACAUCAGCAGUUUCUGAAAUAUUCAAACCAGUCAGUGUGACACGAUCAACCAUGCUACUGUCAAACCAUGCUCACUGAGUUCACAUUUUACCCCAGUCUGAUGUUCGAUGUGAACAUUAACUCAAGCUCUUGUUCCUGUUAAAGUAUCCGGGGAAUAUUUUCAACAUUCACAUUGUCUUGGUUUCUGUAAAAGCUUAGUUCAGUGUAAACUACAUAUAGUUUAUCGGGGAUUAAAGCAUUCGCACAGAACUUAACCUUGUAAGGUGUUAAACCAAACAAAUGUAACCAAACUGAAUUUGCAUGAUUAAAUAAUUACAUAUAAAAACACAGAAUUAUGUGUGUAGUUACAGGAAUUAGUUAAAUGUCUUAGUAUUUUAGGUAUAAGUAUUUCACAAUGUAAAGUACAAUUGCAUCAAUGUGUGUGUAUGUGUGUGUGUGUGUGUGUGUGUGUGUGUGUGUGUGUGUGAGUGUGUGUGUCCCAGACCCCCUCAUUCUUCCUGUUAAUCAUAACAAAACAGGAGGGGUUCACACAUAGAGUGGUCAAAGAGUCUAUUCAUAGUGCAUACCAUCUGCUGAAACACAAAACUCACAAAUUUCAGCACUCCGAGUCUGGGAACAUAGAAUACACACACACACACACACACACACACACACACACACACACACCUAUAUUCAGCCACAUAUUCAGCGACCCUGAAUAAUUGCAUUGCAAUGCAUACCAUUUAUACAAUAUUUAUUUUUAAUUAUUUAUUAUUUUUAUAAACAUCUAAUUAAAUAUAUAAUGUAUUUAUUCUUAUUAAAUCAAAUUUUUAGUCUAAUUAAAUAUUGUCCUAAAAGAAAUUCCAACAAACACUUAGAGUCACCGUGUUUCUGUGUGAAAUGGCAUUAAGGGCCCUACUGUAUGUACGCUCUACAGCACCAUCACAUCACAGCCCACGCAGCAAGCACGGAGACAGUCGAAACCCUUUGACACCAAACGUGUGACCGAGGAGGUUAGAAUAUUUCUGUACAGAUGAGGUGCUGCUCUAGCCGGUCUAUAGGAGGUGCUUCAAAGUUCAAAUAAUUGAAUGCAGGUAUUUAUUUACCCACAGCCAAGGUAAAGCUCGUCUUCAUUACUUUUUACAAUGUCAUUAAUGUUAGCAAUGUAUUUCUGAAUAAAAUGUGUGUGGACAAUUAGCAAGCUUGUUCCAGAAUCAUCCAGAACUCCUUUUUCAGAAUGAAUCAUUACACAAAGUGUUACACACACACACACACAC
ensembl:lncRNA